GAUCAUGGCUCAGGAUGAACGCUAGCUACAGGCUUAACACAUGCAAGUCGGAGGGGCAGCAUGGUCUUAGCUUGCUAAGGCCGAUGGCGACCGGCGCACGGGUGAGUAACGCGUAUCCAACCUGCCGUUACACUCUUGGACAGCCUUCUGAAACGGGAGAUUAAUACAAGAUGUUAUCAUGAGUAAGCAUUUUCGCAUGGAUUAAAAGGUUUUACCGGUGUUAAAGGAUUGGGGGAUGGCGUUCCG
rnacentral:rRNA from 1 species